AUGUCAUAUUAACGUCUCAUGAUGCUGGUUAAGUUAACUAAAUAAAAGCAUGCUUGUAUCACUUUUUCGUAUCUGUACAGUGUGAUACAAUUAAUAUCUCUGCAUGUAAGCAUAAUUAACAGGACAUAAUCAUAAGAGAAUUUCAAAUAUCCUAUUCCAGAUAGACAAGGAUGUAAAUGUAUAUAUUUUCAAUUCUCUUAUUACUGGUACUUCAAGCUGAUGACAUAAAUGCGAUCAAUAAAAGUACAUAGCUGGUUGAAUCUGAAGACAACUGUUGAAUAAAAGGAAAAACAAACAAGUUGGUAAAUAGGAUACGGUGUACUGCGAUUAACGGAAAGUCGGUUAGGUGUCGAACAAGAUUGCUCCAUAAUGACACAAAACAAAUACAUAUUGCUGAAAUGGCGUAAAACACAUUUUACAAAUUCUUAAGAUUUUGGUGUUUGUUUUUAAUUAUCUCUCCCUAUAGUAUGAAACAUAAGUCAGGUAAGACUGACCACGUAUUGUUCGUUUGUCUUUGUUUGUAUGUACGCUUUUUUCAGAGAACUUGGAUGUUGGUGACUGAUAAAUUUUGUUGUAGUAUUCAAUAUUUUUAGCGAUAUCAAAUUAAAUGUAUUAAAUUUAGCACAUCCGAAUAGUUAUCAAA
rnacentral:lncRNA from 1 species